UGCCUAGCAGCUCCUAUCCUUACCUCCUCGCGGUACUGGCCGGGGUACGAGUAACCUUAGGGAAGA
rnacentral:ribozyme from 1 species